rnacentral:rRNA from 1 species
AUGAACGCUGGCGGCGUGCCUAAUACAUGCAAGUCGAGCGAACAGAUGAGGAGCUUGCUCCUCUGACGUUAGCGGCGGACGGGUGAGUAACACGUGGAUAACCUACCUAUAAGACUGGGAUAACUUCGGGAAACCGGAGCUAAUACCGGAUAAUAUAUUGAACCGCAUGGUUCAAUAGUGAAAGAUGGUUUUGCUGUCACUUAUAGAUGGAUCCGCGCCGCAUUAGCUAGUUGGUAAGGUAACGGCUUACCAAGGCGACGAUGCGUAGCCGACCUGAGAGGGUGAUCGGCCACACUGGAACUGAGACACGGUCCAGACUCCUACGGGAGGCAGCAGUAGGGAAUCUUCCGCAAUGGGCGAAAGCCUGACGGAGCAACGCCGCGUGAGUGAUGAAGGUCUUCGGAUCGUAAAACUCUGUUAUUAGGGAAGAACAAAUGUGUAAGUAACUAUGCACGUCUUGACGGUACCUAAUCAGAAAGCCACGGCUAACUACGUG